GACGAACGCUGGCGGCGUGCUUAACACAUGCAAGUCGAACGGAAAGGCCCUGCUUUUGUGGGGUGCUCAAGUGGCGAACGGGUGAGUAACACGUGAGUAACCUGCCCUUGACUUUGGGAUAACUUCAGGAAACUGGGGCUAAUACCGGAUAGGAGCUCCUGCUGCAUGGUGGGGGUUGGAAAGUUUCGGCGGUUGGGGAUGGACUCGCGGCUUAUCAGCUUGUUGGUGGGGUAGUGGCUUACCAAGGCUUUGACGGGUAGCCGGCCUGAGAGGGUGACCGGCCACAUUGGGACUGAGAUACGGCCCAGACUCCUACGGGAGGCAGCAGUGGGGAAUAUUGCACAAUGGGCGGAAGCCUGAUGCAGCAACGCCGCGUGCGGGAUGACGGCCUUCGGGUUGUAAACCGCUUUCGCCUGUGACGAAGCGUGAGUGACGGUAAUGGGUAAAGAAACACCGGCUAACUACGU
rnacentral:rRNA from 1 species